UAUGGUUGUGUGCCAGCCGCCGCGGUAAUACGUAGGUGGCGAGCGUUGUCCGGAAUUAUUGGGCGUAAAGGGAGCGCAGGCGGGAGGUCAAGUCUAUCUUAAAAGUGCGGGGCUCAACCCCGUGAGGGGAUGGAAACUGGUCUUCUUGAGUGCAGGAGAGGAAAGCGGAAUUCCUAGUGUAGCGGUGAAAUGCGUAGAUAUUAGGAGGAACACCAGUGGCGAAGGCGGCUUUCUGGACUGUAACUGACGCUGAGGCUCGAAAGCGUGGGGAGCGAACAGG
rnacentral:rRNA from 1 species